rnacentral:rRNA from 1 species
UAGGGAAUCUUCGGCAAUGGGGGCAACCCUGACCGAGCAACGCCGCGUGAGUGAAGAAGGUUUUCGGAUCGUAAAGCUCUGUUGUAAGUCAAGAACGAGUGUGAGAGUGGAAAGUUCACACUGUGACGGUAGCUUACCCCAAAGGGGGACNAAUUACUAGCCAGCAACCGCGGUAAUACGUAGGUCCCGAGCGGGAGCGUUGUCCGGAUUUAUUGGGCGUAAAGCGAGCGCAGGCGGUUUGAUAAGUCUGAAGUUAAAGGCUGUGGCUCAACCAUAGUUCGCUUUGGAAACUGUCAAACUUGAGUGCAGAAGGGGAGAGUGGAAUUCCAUGUGUAGCGGUGAAAUGCGUAGAUAUAUGGAGGAACACCGGUGGCGAAAGCGGCUCUCUGGUCUGUAACUGACGCUGAGGCUCGAAAGCGUGGGGAGCGAACAGGAUUAGAUACCCUGGUAGUCCACGCCGUAAACGAUGAGUGCUAGGUGUUGGAUCCUUUCCGGGAUUCAGUGCCGCAGCUAACGCAUUAAGCACUCCGCCUGGGGAGUACGACCGCAAGGUUG